CCUACGGGGGGCAGCAGUGAGGAAUAUUGGUCAAUGGACGAGAGUCUGAACCAGCCAAGUCGCGUGAAGGAUGACUGCCCUAUGGGUUGUAAACCUCUUUUGUCGGAGAACAAAACCCGGUACGUGUCCCGGGCUGCGAGUAUCCGAAGAAAAAGCAUCGGCUAACUCCGUGCCAGCAGCCGCGGUAAUACGGAGGAUACGAGCGUUAUCCGGAUUUAUUGGGUUUAAAGGGUGCGUAGGCGGUCCGUUAAGUUAGCGGGGAAAUUUCGGGGCUCAACCCCGUCGAGGCCUUUAAAACUGGUAGACUUGAGUAGAGGAGAGGUAGGCGGAAUGUGCGGUGUAGCGGUGAAAUGCAUAGAGAUCGCGCAGAACUCCGAUUGCGAAGGCAGCGUACCGACGCCAGACUGACGCUGAGGCACGAAAGCGUGGGGAGCGAACAGGAUUAGAUACCCCAGUAGUC
rnacentral:rRNA from 1 species